AUACGUAGGGGGCGAGCGUUGUCCGGAAUGAUUGGGCGUAAAGGGCGCGUAGGCGGCUUUGCAAGUCAGUAGUGGAAGUCCAUUUUUCAAGGAUGGAAGUGCUACAGAAACUGCGGAGCUUGAGUGCAGGAGAGGUUAUCGGAAUUCCCGGUGUAGCGGUGAAAUGCGUAGAGAUCGGGAGGAACACCAGUGGCGAAGGCGGGUAACUGGACUGCAACUGACGCUGAGGCGCGAAAGUGUGGGGAGCAAACAGGAUUAGAUACCCUGGUAGUCCACGCUGUAAACGAUGAAUACUAGGUGUGGGGGGACUGACCCCCUCCGUGCCGCAGUUAACACAAUAAGUAUUCCACCUGGGGAGUACGAUCGCAAGAUUAAAACUCAAAGGAAUUGACGGGG
rnacentral:rRNA from 1 species